AGUGAACGCUGGCGGUAGGCCUAACACAUGCAAGUCGAACGGCAGCACAGGAGAGCUUGCUCUCUGGGUGGCGAGUGGCGGACGGGUGAGGAAUACAUCGGAAUCUACUCUGUCGUGGGGGAUAACGUAGGGAAACUUACGCUAAUACCGCAUACGACCUACGGGUGAAAGCAGGGGAACUUCGUAACUUGCGCGAUUGAAUGAGCCGAUGUGGGAUUAGCUAGUUGGCGGGGUAAAGGCCCACCAAGGCGACGAGCCGUAGCUGGUCUGAGAGGAUGAUCAGCCACACUGGAACUGAGACACGGUCCAGACUCCUACGGGAGGCAGCAGUGGGGAAUAUUGGACAAUGGGCGCAAGCCUGAUCCAGCCAUACCGCGUGGGUGAAGAAGGCCUUCGGGUUGUAAAGCCCUUUUGUUGGGAAAGAAAUCCAGCUGGCUAAUACCCGGUUGGGAUGACGGUACCCAAAGAAUAAGCACCGGCUAACUUCGUGCCAGCAGCCGCCGUAA
rnacentral:rRNA from 1 species